GGAGGGCAGGGGAGGAGGGGAGGCAGAGGGAACUGGGAUUGACAUGUAAAAAAAGAUUGUUUCUAAUUUAAAUUUUAAAAAGGUCAAUUACAAAAUAAUGUUAAACUAAAGAAUGCCAGGCUGCCCAUAGGAGGUGAUGCUAUGAGAUGAUUGCUGUUGCUGGGCAAAGUCUCUCUAGUUUCCACCACCAUCCUCAACCGCUGGGCACCUGAUAUCAGCCCUAGCUCCUGCUGUGUCUAAACAGGGAGGGCUCCCUUCUUCAGACAUGAAGUACACUUGGGGUCCCUGCUUCUUAGCAUCUCUAUGCAGACUCAGGAAUGAAUACAUGAGUGGCAGAGCCUCUAUCAUGUAACAGUACUUAACUGCAGAUGAAACUGGGAAGGAAAGCAUUCCACACAGUCUAUCUCCAUAAUGAAUGAACUCUGCCUGUACAGCAAUGAACUCCACUGACACAAGAAGCACAAAACUUGACAUUCAUUUCCGUUAACAUUAAAUAUUAGCAAUUUUAGGUGAAUGGUCAGUGUCAUAAAACCUGGACUCAGGGUCCAGACCUCACCUGUCUUCCUGAUCUCAGGAUUUCUGCUUCAUUCAGGAACCGUCCCAUUGGCUCCAGCAGUGGAGUAGCUUCAAAUGUAAUCUCCAACUGGCAGAGAUGCUCACACUCCUGUCAAAGCCCCAAUCCUUGGGCAGGAUGAACCAGGUGCUCACUGCACUAUGAUCAACCAUAUUGUCAGUGUGGGUUAUGGGAAUAAAAGCCUGGUAGAAACUUUCUUGACAGUCAAAGGAACAGUUUUCCAUGCUUACUAAAAAAAAUAACUAAAAAUAAAAACUACUCACAUGGUGUGAUGGCUGUUCUUGGUUGUCAACUUGACUAUAUCUGGAAUGAACUACAAUCCAGAAAUGGAGGGUACACUUGUGAUCUGAGUCUUGGGGCAGAAAGACAACAUGCCUUUUAUCUGGAUCUUGAGGCUGAAAGACACAGGUUUUUGAUCUGGAUCUUGAGGCAAAAUGACACACACCUUUAAUCUGGGCCACCCUCAGCUGGAAGCCUAUUUAAGGGCAAUGGAAGAAGGAAGGGUUGGUUCACUCUUUGCCUGAUUGCCCUUGCCUUCCCAGCACAUCCAUCCCUUCACUGGCAUUAGCGGCUAUCUCUUUGGGAUCUCAGCAUAUACAGAAGACCAGAAGAGACACCCAGCUUCAUGGGACUGAGCAACCACUAGGUUCUUGGACUAGGCAUUCACAGCUAGCCAUCAUUGGACUGCAGCCUGAUUGUUUUGAAAUAGAUAAUUUUACUGAUCCAGCAGCCAAGAACUGUUGCUGUGUCUUGAGGAUCCGUUGGAGGCCCUUUGGCAGGACUGUUUGUUUGCUGAAGAUUAUUCAUGCCUGCUGGGGACAUAGAAAUGAACCCAGGGUUGGAGAUCACUGCACCUGAAUAAAUCUGUUGGAGCUGUCACAUAGGAAGUUCUCAAGGACAUCAACCUCCUCACUCAUUAGCUCUCUGUUUCUUCAAAUCAGAGCUCCCCCUUGAUGAAGAUACAAGGAUGGGUGUCUUUACAGUCCUGGGGACCAACUAAGUGGUACACACAAAGGGGAUGCCAAAUCUGCCAGGGUCUAGAGUCAGGAAGGCAAAAGGAAAGCGAGAGAGGUGAGCUGCCGGGCAAAUCUCUGCAAGACCGCUCAUUGCUUAGAGGCUGUUACGCCAGUAAAAGGAUGCGCCAUAAAAAAAGAGAUGAAGAAAGCCACAAGAGGACAGUUGUCUCAGACAUGCACAUACCUCGGAAAACUGAUUAGUUCCACGUCUAACAUUCCCUCCUGGAUCUUCAGACUCAAAGGAGAUGUUUCCAGAUGUUCCAAGUGACCCAGAGGAAAUGGUUACAGGAUCCACGCUAUUCUGAGGGGAGGCUACAUUAUGCAAAAUAAUAGGACGCAACCUGGCAGUCAGGGGACUCGCACUUGGAAUGAAGUUUCUGCUUUGAUGUAAAUCUGCUUGAAACACAAGUAUAGAAAGUUCUACAGAUACAAUCUCCUCAGUCCGAACACACAAAACAAGGAACUUCAAGAGAGACAACCAAAACUAAACUUUCCUCAGAUCCCACAUAUCCCACUGAGGGUCUUUGUGCAGUGGAUCUCUGAAAAAGAAUCUACUAAAUCUCAAGGCUAUGUCAGCUGAGUUUGCCUAGUCUAAUUACAGCCACUCAGAAUAGUAAUUCGCAUAUUAAAUGUCCUUUUCCUAGCAAAGAGAUAAAAAGGAAAUCUUUGAGAAAUUGUCUGUAGCAUUUAAUGACAGAUGUUUUUAACUCCACACUGUCCAUGUUCAAUUCAUCUUUUCAAUAGCCUCAACAUUAACCCGAGUCCCUUAGAGUAGAUGAUGUUCAGGCCCCAUCCCAAUAACAAGUACAGAGCCUGACUCACAGUGGUACUGGGCGAGUUCUAGUACAAUUAUCCUCAAUAUGAACAAAGCCCACAAUGUCACAACCACUUUCUAGACUGUGCCCUUCCUGCAAACUGCCCUGCAGAGUUGCUUUCUGAGCAGAGGGGAUUGUUUUGAAAUUGGCACAUCAGGUUUUAAGAAUGUGGGGAGGGUCUAUACUUGUUAAUUUACAAGAACACAUUGAUUUUAUUAGUUUUGAGCUGAGAAUCAUCCUGGGAACACAAGAGGAGGCAGAAAUGAGGCCAUGUUGAUUCUUCAGAGACCCUGCCAGCCAGCAGCUCCUGUACCACAACACGACAGCAUGCUUCCCUGUUUGUAUUGGAAAACGAUGAGAGCCCGCAGAGUUUGUCUUAUCAGUUUCCAGGUGGAGGCAGUGGGCCCAGCCACUUCAAACAGAGAAGUGGGCCAGGGGGAGGCACAACGGAGUCAUGAAACCCACUAUAGCCUGCUGGGACAGAGGCUUUGUGGAUACAAUACCUGACUGUUGCCUGUACCUUUACUGUCUGGGGCUCCCACUGAUGUUUGCAAAGAGCCUGCUUAUGCUUAAGAAAGUCUUUUUAUCCUGGUGGAGGAAAUAACUGAAAACAAAAGCGCCUCCUACCUCUC